AGUUCGAUUAUGGCUCAAGGGUGAACGCUGGCGGGAUGCUUUACACAUGCAAGUCGAACGGCAGCACGGACUUCGGUCUGGUGGCGAGUGGCGAACGGGUGAGUAAUGUAUCGGAACAUGCCCUAGUAGCGGGGGAUAACUACGCGAAAGCGUAGCUAAUACCGCAUACGCCCUUCGGGGGAAAGCGGGGGACCUUCGGGCCUCGCACUAUUAGAGCGGCCGAUAUCGGAUUGGCUAGUUGGUGGGGUAACGGCUCACCGGGCGACGAUCCGUAGCUGGUUUGAGAGGACGACCAGCCACACUGGGACUGAGACACGGCCCAGACUCCUACGGGAGGCAGCAGUGAAAUUUUGGACAAUGGGGAAACCCUGAUCAGCCAUCCCGCGUGUGCGAUGAAGGCCUUCGGGUUGUAAAGCACUUUUGGCAGGAAAGAAACGGCACGGGAUAAUACCCCGUGCAACUGGCGGUACCUGCAGAAUGGCACCGGCUAACUACGUGCCAGCAGCCGCGGUAAUACGUAGGGUGCAAGCGUUAAUCGGAAUUACUGGGCGUAAAGCGUGCGCAGGCGGUUCGGAAAGAAAGAUGUAGAAAUCCAGAGAGCUUAACUUUGGAACUGCAUUUUUAACUACCGAGCUAGAGUGUGUCAGAGGGGAGGUGGAAUUCCCGCGUGUAGCAGUGAAAUGCGUAGAUAUGCGGAGGAACACCGAUAGCGAAGGCAGCCUCCUGGAACACUGGCGCUCAUGCACGAAAGCGUGGGAGCAAACAGGAUUAGAUACCCUGGUAGUCCACGCCCUAAACGAUGUCAACUAGCUGUUGGGGCCUUCGGGCCUUGGUAGCGCAGCUAACGCGUGAAGUUGACCGCCUGGGAAGUACGGUCGCAAGAUUAAAACUCAAAGGAAUUGACGGGGACCCGCACAAGCGGUGGAUGAUGUGGAUUAAUUCGAUGCAACGCGAAAAACCUUACCUACCCUUGACAUGUCUGGAAUCCCGAAGAGAUUUGGGAGUGCUCGCAAGAGAACCGGAACACAGGUGCAUGGCUGUCGUCAGCUCGUGUCGUGAGAUGUUGGGUUAAGUCCCGCAACGAGCGCAACCCUUGUCAUUAGUUGCUACGAAGGGCACUCUAAUGAGACUGCCGGUGACAAACCGGAGGAAGAUUGGGGAUGACGUCAAGUCCUCAUGGCCCUUAUGGGUAGGGCUUCACACGUCAUACAAUGGUCGGGACAGAGGGUCGCCAACCCGCGAGGGGAGCCAAUCCCAGAAACCCGAUCGUAGUCCGGAUCGCAGUCUGCAACUCGACUGCGUGAAGUCGGAAUCGCUAGUAAUCGCGGAUCAGCAUGUCGCAGUGAAUACGUUCCCGGGUCUUGUACACACCGCCCGUCACACCAUGGGAGUGGGUUUUACCAGAAGUAGUUAGCCUAACCGUAAGGAGGGCGAUUACCACGGUAGGAUUCAUGACUGGGGGUGAAGUCGCGUAACAAGGUAA
rnacentral:rRNA from 1 species